AAGGACAAUUUGCUUCGUUAUAAAAAGUGGCCGGAACCGCCGAAAGUACAUCAGUUUGUCAGCAGUUGUAGCACCGUGCGUGAAGUUACCUCCCAGUGGCCAAAGCCUUCCCACCCAAAGCAGUAACGAUGAAAUACGUUCUAGUGACAAUAGCCCUCCUGGUGCUGGCGGUAGCCCUCGUGUCCGCCCUUCCCGCCGUCCAAGAUGAAUCCCUCUUCGGCAACCCCGUCGACGUGCAGGAAGUGGACGUCAUCAACCCACAAGACCCACAGGCCUUCUUCAAGCUGCGCAAGCUGAAGCGUCUGCUCUUCUUGGGCUAGAUAAAUCCGAUAACCUACCGGACCGGCAGCAUCACUCAAAGUCAGCCCCAGCCGGAUAUUAACACCAUCUAAAAUGCCAUAUUGGAAGUUUUUCGAUUGAUCAGUAUUUUGUUAUUUACAAACUCACAAAGAACGUUAAUAUUUCAUCGAACAUAAAAUAGUGGAUAAGUUUUUGCUAUUGUGCUAUUGCGCAAAUUUUAGGACGUCUAUCGGUUAUCCCCAUCCCAUCUCAACUUGUUCUAUCAUACGGAGAUUCAAAUGUUGCGUUACGAAGCAAUAUGGAAUCAACGGUUUAAAGAUGCAAGGGAGGCCGGUUGACGGAAUGAAACCAAUUCUAAUGUUAAAAAUAAACGCAAUGUUAUUGUUAACCAAACAAA